AGGGUUUGAUCCUGGCUCAGAUUGAACGCUGGCGGCAUGCCUUACACAUGCAAGUCGAACGGCAGCACGGGAGCAAUCCUGGUGGCGAGUGGCGAACGGGUGAGUAAUAUAUCGGAGCGUGCCCAGUCGUGGGGGAUAACGUAGAGAAAUUUACGCUAAUACCGCAUACGAUCUACGGAUGAAAGCGGGGGACUCGCAAGAGCCUCGCGCGACUGGAGCGGCUGAUAUCAGAUUAGGUUGUUGGUGAGGUAAAAGCUCACCAAGCCGACGAUCUGUAGCUGGUUUGAGAGAACGACCAGCCACACUGGGACUGAGACACGGCCCAGACUCCUACGGGAGGCAGCAGUGGGGAAUUUUGGACAAUGGGCGCAAGCCUGAUCCAGCAAUGCCGCGUGCAGGAAGAAGGCCUUCGGGUUGUAAACUGCUUUUGUACGGAACGAAAAGGUCCUUUCUAAUACAAGGGGCUAAUGACGGUACCGUAAGAAUAAGCACCGGCUAACUACGUGCCAGCAGCCGCGGUAAUACGUAGGGUGCGAGCGUUAAUCGGAAUUACUGGGCGUAAAGCGUGCGCAGGCGGUUAUGUAAGACAGUUGUGAAAUCCCCGGGCUCAACCUGGGAAUUGCAUCUGUGACUGC
rnacentral:rRNA from 1 species